rnacentral:lncRNA from 10 species
CUGUUUGCUAAAGGCAUGCGGGCUACAGCAUUCAAGAGAGGGAGUCGUUAACAAAGGGAAAGAGAUAAAUGUAAAUAAGCUCACAUUUACAGAAUGAGCGGUUUGCAGUAAAAAGCUGCGGCAGCCCAGAGUCUGCUACUUUAGGCUGGGCUAACCUUUCCCUGUAAAAAAAAAAAAAAAAAAAAAAAAAAAAAAAUGGAUAAAAAUAUGCACUUCCAAAGGGCGAGUUGCCCAUUUACAUGUUUAUUAGCUAAUUAUCUACAGGCAUCAGCACAUUCUCUCAUCUAGCACACUCUUUCUUGGGGAAGACAGAUUUCUGGAGGAGUGUGAAAAUCAACUCUCCUUAAUAUUAAGCACCCAUUGGAGGAAAUCUCUAACUACAGUGCCUCCAGGAAACUCAUUGGUUAUUCCAGUCUUAGAUAAAAUUGGUGCCAGGAUUUGGUUCGAACUAAUGUGGAGGAAAAUAUUUCCUACCGGUCCAUAGUGUCAGAGUGGUGAACCCCUGCAGCCAGCAGGCCUCCUGAAAAAAAAGUCCAUGGGUGACAGAAGAUUCAUUGACUUCCAAUUCCAAGAUUCAAAUUCAAGCCUCAGACCCAGGUUGGGCAAUGCUACUGCCAAUAAUACUUGCAUUGUUGAUGAUUCCUUCAAGUAUAAUCUCAAUGGUGCUGUCUA